GGGCGAGUUUCAGAUUCGAUUGCGGGUAGAGAAUGAGAAAAGCAUACCAAAGGCUCGGCUUUGUAAAAACGGAAACUUAAAUUUAAAUGCAGAAUCGAAAGAUUCCAAAGUUAUUGCUUUCCCCUCUUUCAGAGCGGUAGGCGUAGCUUGUGCAGCUUAACUUAAGCUGUCCGUCGUAACUUUUUCACCGUUGGAAAGUUCUCGGCGUUAAUUAAACGGUAAAACUUUUCCGCGUUCUGCUGCGCGCGGGCAAGUGAAUUUCAGCGGCAUGCGCUUUGCGUUCCCCGUCCGUCGGGGAUACAAGGUUAAGUUCAAAGGCGGAAUAAGUAUGUAGAAAGCUCAAACGAAACUUGUAAGACGCGGGUGCGAGUCCCGCCUCGUCCACCA
rnacentral:tmRNA from 1 species